UGGAGGGGACACUGUUGGGACGCCUCUGCUAAAGAGGAGGAAGGAAUGGGGCAACGGUAGGUCAGCAUGCCCGAAUUAUCUGGGCUACACGCGGGCUACAAUGGGUGGGACAAUGGGUAUCGACACCGAAAGGUGAAGGCAAUCUCCUAAACCCAUCCGUAGUUCGGAUUGUGGGCUGCAACUCGCCCACAUGAAGCUGGAAUCUGUAGUAAUCGUGUCUCAAAAAUGGCACGGUGAAUAUGUCCCUGCUCCUU
rnacentral:rRNA from 1 species